GACGAACGCUGGCGGCGUGCCUAAUACAUGCAAGUUGAGCGAUGAAGAUUGGUGCUUGCACCAAUUUGAAGAGCAGCGAACGGGUGAGUAACGCGUGGGGAAUCUGCCUUUGAGCGGGGGACAACAUUUGGAAACGAAUGCUAAUACCGCAUAACAACUUUAAACAUAAGUUUUAAGUUUGAAAGAUGCAAUUGCAUCACUCAAAGAUGAUCCCGCGUUGUAUUAGCUAGUUGGUGAGGUAAAGGCUCACCAAGGCGAUGAUACAUAGCCGACCUGAGAGGGUGAUCGGCCACAUUGGGACGGAGACACGGCCCAAACCCCUACGGGAGGCAGCAGUAGGGAAUCUUCGGCAAUGGACGAAAGUCUGACCGAGCAACGCCGCGUGAGUGAAGAAGGUUGUCGGAUCGUAAAACUCUGUUGGUAGAGAAGAACGUUGGUGAGAGUGGAAAGCUCAUCAAGUGACGGUAACUACCCAGAAAGGGACGGCUAACUACGUG
rnacentral:rRNA from 1 species